GAGGGAACGGAACUGAGGACCGAU
rnacentral:piRNA from 1 species